CAUUUCAACAUCCCGCGUUCGGCAGCCUGUGCAAUUUCACUUCCCUCCAGGCUCCAACUCCCCCCAUUUUAGCUGUCAAAAUUCUCUUCCCAUCACCACAGUCCUCUCGCGUUCCUUCAACCUCCACUUACUUGCACAAUCGCCACCCUCUUCAAAACCAACCUGCUCUCUCUCUCUCUCUCUCUGGGAGCUCAGAUCCAAAGUCUGAGCAAAGCAAAUUCGCUCAGCACCAAUGGAUCUGGGCAUGAACACGUACCAAGUUUUGAAGACGCGAGCCCAACACCUGUAAUCGACGGUGGUGGAGGAGUCAGAGUCAUCAGGCCGCAGAGCAAGUGAUUAUGGGGUGAAAGGUUUGAUCGAUUUUGAGUCCUUGAUCUUACUCUGAAAAAGAAGAAGAAUCACCCUGACACUGCAAAAGUUUUGAGGUGCUAAAUAAGAUAAGUGCUACUUCACCAAAUCUCCCUGCUGUUUCUUCACUGCUGCUUCUAAGGUUGCUUUGGAGUGUUAACUUUUCUUGGUGUUUUGAUUGGUAUUCCUUUUUCACCAAAUUUGCUUAUUCUGUCUGUGAAAAUGGCUUCAUCUCAAAUUGGGUUUUUGUGGCUUGCACUUUUGCAGUGAUAUUCAUAUUAAGGUUUGUAAUUUCUUGUGGAAAGUUACAAACCCAUGUUUAGUUUUUUACUUUGGAAUCAGUUUGAAUAGCAAAACGUACGUAUUUUUUCUCGCCUAGAAAAUUGAAGAUCAUGUACCUUACUUUUAUCUCAAAACUUUUUUUUCCCCUUCUAUGUUCUGUAUUUCGAAACAAUUGUUAUGUCUCUUAGAAAAGUUUCAUGUAUUGUGCAACUUUCAGUGCACACGAUUAAUUGAGAGACUGUCCCACUUGUAAGAGCAAACUAUUUUAUAUAAGAAAGCUAAAGUUUUUGUACAACUGUAGUUACUGGUUGUUAUUACCAUAUUUUCGUUAAUUGGUUGGAGAAAUUUUUGAAUUCAAAUAUGCAAAUUCAAUGUAUUGGUAGCUACUGCAAAAACAUUUCACCAAUCUGUCUACUGGUUUAUCUGUGGGCUAUUAAAUUGAAAUGAACUUCAAACUUUUUCAUGUGUACCUGCUGGAGCAGUAUGGGUAUUACUGAAGCAUUGCGAUUGCAGGUAGAACUCCAAAAGCGGCUUCAUGAACAACUUGAGGUAUGCAGUUGGAAGCCAUGCACUGUCUUUAUGUCUCUGAGCUUGUUGUUGGUUGGGAUCUGUUUACAAGAUUUUGUAGAGAUUCGUAAUAUAUAGAAAUUUAUGUGCCAGAGUCUAGUUUUGAGAAUAACUAAUGAUUUCUUCUGAUUUGCUUCUUCUUCUAUACAAACUAUAUGCUACUAUUAUGACUUGCAUAAUACAAAUUUCCAGAUAGAGUUUUGCUUUACAGUUACAGAGUUUGGUUAUGAUGUGAUACAUGUCAAAACAAUCUCCAUUAUUUUGAUCUUUGUAGUAGGCAGAUGGAUGAAAAGGUUUAUAAAGUUGAGGUGACUGCUCAUGAGUGACAGUGAGCUUUGCUGAAUGAAACCAAGCCUUAGUAUGUUUCGAUCAAGCAGCUUUGGUUUGAAGCCACCAACUGUGGGGUUUAUGAGUCAAAAGUAGUAUAGUUGGGCGGUUGAGCUGAUGAGCCAAUGAAUCGUAUUUCAUUGAGUUCUGGGGUAUAUUUAUAUCUGUGUAGGCCUAUAUACAGCUUUGAUCCCAUUCUCCAUCACCCAUUCUUUCUCUUGGUUCUCAUGGCUCUUCUUCACUUUAUUACGCAACCUAACAAUUUAGAACAAGCUGACUUAAAUCUUCAGCUGAGAUGAUCCUCUUGUUUAUUACUUUUAUAUAUCCAGUCCUAAACAAACCCAAAAUGAAUGUUAUUCAAGUGAUGCCAAACCCAUCAUAGUCAAAUGAUGAUUUUAUUCAUGAAUGCCAAACCCAUCAUCAUCAGCUGAUGAGCUUUUUUUUGUUCUGUUUUUCUUUUUGGUUAGGUAAGUAGUUUAUUGCACAUACUUUGUGGUACUAUUUGUCUAUUUUCAGUUUUUCUGUUCAGCGCACUUCUAUAUUGGUUUUGAUAAGACCAGCUUUUAAAUAGUUUAACAGAUUAGUGCAGAAAAAAUACACUCGAAAGACCAUCUCUAGUUCGAGGAACUUAGAAAAGUGAUGAUCAUCUCCAUUUAGAUAUGCAGCUCGAAACAUUGAUGCAUGUUUUCUCUUUGUUUCAGAAUUUCAUUCUAGGUGAAUUGUUAGUUAGGUGGAUGGGCUCGUAAAAUAACACCAGAAAAGAACUAAGAAUAGGAUUGGUUGGUAUAUCUGUUGUCAUUGAUUGCAAGUUCAUUGCACACAACUAAUAUACUGGUGGUUGAUUCACAGCGUGACCGAUUUUUUCUGGAUAGAUUGGAGUGCAAGGUCAAACAAAAUAGUUACUUCAUCUCAUGACUGGAACUUGAGAAGACUUCCUUGUACCUACCUCCCUUGAAGAGGAAACAAGUUCGCAUUGAAUGAAUCUCUGAUCCAUACGAGAGGGAAAAGAGGCAGACUUGGCAUUGACAGCCAUUUUUUUGUUUUUGUUUUUGGCAUUGGAGGAAUCUGGAUGUUGAAACACAUUGUAAAGAGAUGGCAUCGUGACCAAAUCCAGAGCUCUUUUCAUCACUGGAGUAGAAAUGAUAAGUGGUAGUUUUUUUCAGAAAUUUGAUGGGAAUGUUAAAACAGGCCAAGGUGUCCAAAUUCAGAAUCAAGUUGUCAAUAUGAUUGAAGCCUAGUCCCCAUUUGUCUAAUAUUCAGUAUAUAUAGACGCUUUAAUCUGGUCAUAUCAAGUACUUACACUAACUUUGAAGUUAGGAUAAGCAAAAUAAUGAAAACAGCCAAUUUCCUCUUUAUACAAUGUUUAUCCGUAACAUGUACUAGAAUUGAAGUUCUUUACCUCCAAAUGCAAUUACAUAUUAUCUGCAA